UACGUAGGGACCGAGCGUUGUCCGGAUUCAUUGGGCGUAAAGAGCUCGUAGGCGGCUGCUCAAGUCGAAUGUGAAAACUCGAGGCUCAACCUCGAGCCUGCAUUCGAUACUGGGCGGCUAGAGUCUGGUAGGGGGAUCUGGAAUUCCUGGUGUAGCGGUGGAAUGCGCAGAUAUCAGGAGGAACAGCCGGUGGCGAAGGCGGGAUCCUGGGCCAGUACUGACGCUGAGGAGCGAAAGCGUGGGGAGCAAACAGG
rnacentral:rRNA from 1 species